AGAAUGAAAUUCGGCACUUUGAAGCCAAACUCGGAAAGAAACAGAAACAGAAUUGGAUGAGCUGAUAUAGAAUUAGACAGGAAAAACAUAUUAUGAAAAUACAUUAUUACAGUACAGACCAUUGAUGCUGGAAGUGAGUGGAUAGUGUUACUGGAGACUCAGGGAUCCAGAAAAUAGAUCCAUAAAUUGUACAGUGUAUUCAUGAAAGUGGAUCAAAUAAAAAUGUUUAAUCGAAAA